rnacentral:rRNA from 1 species
UACGUAGGGAGCAAGCGUUGUCCGGAAUCAUCGGGCGUAAAGCGCGCGUAGGCGGCCCUGUAAGUCCGUUGUGAAAGUCAAAGGCUCAACCUUUGAAAGCCGAUGGAUACUGCAGGGCUAGAGUCCGGAAGAGGCGAGUGGAAUUCCUGGUGUAGCGGUGGAAUGCGCAGAUAUCAGGAGGAACACCAAUAGCGAAGGCAGCUCGCUGGGACGGUACUGACGCUAAGGCGCGAAAGCGUGGGGAGCGAACAGG